rnacentral:rRNA from 1 species
AUUGAACGCUGGCGGCAUGCUUUACACAUGCAAGUCGAACGGUAACAGGUUAAGCUGACGAGUGGCGAACGGGUGAGUAAUGCAUCGGAACGUGCCCGGUCGUGGGGGAUAACGCAGCGAAAGCUGCGCUAAUACCGCAUACGAUCUGAGGAUGAAAGCGGGGGACCGUAAGGCCUCGCGCGAUCGGAGCGGCCGAUGUCAGAUUAGGUAGUUGGUGGGGUAAAGGCUCACCAAGCCAACGAUCUGUAGCUGGUCUGAGAGGACGACCAGCCGCACUGGGACUGAGACACUGCCCAGACUCCGACGGGAGGCAGCAGUGGGGAAUUUUGGACAAUGGGCGAAAGCCUGAUGCAGCAAUGCCGCGUGCAGGAAGAAGGCCUUCGGGUUGUAAACUGCUUUUGUACGGAGCGAAAAGGUCUCCUCUAAUACAGGGGGCUCAUGACGGUACCGUAAGAAUAAGUACCGGCUAACUACGUGCCAGCCGCCGCAGUAA